rnacentral:rRNA from 1 species
UACAGAGGUCCCGAGCGUUGUUCGGAUUCAUUGGGCGUAAAGGGCUCGUAGGCGGCCAACUAAGUCAGACGUGAAAUCCCCAGGCUUAACCUGGGAACUGCGUCUGAUACUGGAUGGCUUGAAUUCGGGAGAGGGAUGCAGAAUUCCAGGUGUAGCGGUGAAAUGCGUAGAUAUCUGGAGGAAUACCGGUGGCGAAGGCGGCAUCCUGGACCGAGAUUGACGCUGAUGAGCGAAAGCUAGGGGAGCAAACGGG